rnacentral:lncRNA from 1 species
NGCAAAAUACAAAAACAGCAUAGCAGAUGCAAAUAUAUUUGAUUAAACCAUCUAAAGACUAAAAUUAAAUCAGACUGUGACCAUAAUUCCCCACCACUUAUUCACUUACUAUGUAUCUGUGAUACACACCUCAUAUUAUUAUUUUCUUGCCAUAUCAGAUUUUAGAGAUUGUUUCUCUUGCACACUGGCACCAAAAAGUAUGAGACUCCACUUUUAUAGUAGUCCCACUGUUGAUAGGUAUCAUAUCUAAAUAAUAACCCAUCAGUAUUAGUAUCAGGUAUGCAUUACCAUAAUAAUUAUAGUGUUGCCAUAGAUAACCUGGUCAUAUUUACGAAGCAUGCAGAAUAGAAAAGGGGGCAUUUCUAAAUUCUUAGAUGACAUGCUAAUUAUGUUUCUUCAGCUAUUGAAUGAUUUCAAUUUUUUUUUAAAGAAAUACUAUCAUAAACAGUGACACUU